AAUCAACGCUGGCGGCGCGCCUAACACAUGCAAGUCGAACGGGAAAGUGGGCAACCAUGAGUACAGUGGCGUACGGGUGAGUAACACGUGGGUGAUCUACCUCUUAGUGGGGAAUAACCCUGGGAAACCGGGGCUAAUACCGCAUAAGCUCGAGAGAGGAAAGCAGCAAUGCGCUGAGAGAGGAGCCCGCGGCCGAUUAGCUAGUUGGGAGGGUAAAAGCCUACCAAGGCAAAGAUCGGUAGCCGGCCUGAGAGGGCACACGGCCACACUGGCACUGAAACACGGGCCAGACUCCUACGGGAGGCAGCAGUGGGGAAUCUUGCACAAUGGGGGAAACCCUGAUGCAGCGACGCCGCGUGAGCGAUGAAGCCCUUCGGGGUGUAAAGCUCUUUCGGCAGGGAAGAUGAUGACGGUACCUGCAGAAGCAGCUGCGGCUAACUACGUGCCAGCAGCCGCGGUAACAC
rnacentral:rRNA from 1 species